rnacentral:lncRNA from 1 species
CCUGAGUACGGUGUGAUAGUUGAGCUACCUGCAGGGCCCCUGGACGCGUGUGAGGGCCAGUUGAGGGGUUGGGGUUCUGUGGGCGUGGCCGUCGUUCCACCGCACAGUUGGGGACAUUAGAGUUAGGCUUGAGCCCCCUCCCCCAGUCCCCCAGUGUCCACCCUCGCGGAGGGGUGAAGUGCGGGCUCCGCAAGGGGCAGUGGAUGCCGUGGUUUUACUUCUUUCCCACCGCGGUGCUUAGAAAGGGGCACCCGAAGAAUCGCUCCGUGCCUCUACACCAGUCUACAGCAUGCCUGCGUAUGGGUUCAAAAGGUGGCACAGUGACUGGCACAUAGCAGCGGCCCCAGGUUAUCUGAGAACCAAUCAAUGAACAAAGACCAGCCUGGCUCCAGUUGUCAGUGUGGAAGCUGCCACCACGGAUACAGAAGAAAAAAGGGAAUUUCAUUCACACACUGGGAAAUCACGGCAAACCUACCUCACUGUGUUGAAAUGGGACGAAUGCAAACGAAGGCAUUGGGUGCUGUGUGUCUGGUCCUGGGUUCCUGCCUCCCUUCAGUCACAGUAUUGAUCCGGGCUCUGGAGGACUUCAGUUACUUUCUGCCAAGUUCACUCUGUGAUACCCUCAGGAAAUACGUAUCUCGCAGAAUAAAGCCAGAUCACCCAAACAUCCCAUCAGCAAAUGACUGGUUAACAGGAAAUUUGAGUGAUAGUUUCAAAAUCUCAAGACACUAUGAUUUUCAACCUAGACUUUCAUACCUAUCCAACUCAUCAAUGAUGUAUCAGCAGAAAUGAAAGUACUUCAAGACAGUCAAGGACUCAGAAAAGGUUAUUUCCAUUGUAGAUUUCUUGGAAAGUUACUCAGCACAUGUUCUGGUAAAAGCAGGGAGUACACCAAAAGAAGCCAUGGGAUCUGUGAAAGUGUGUCUCUGGGGCCCAACAUCUGGCCAUAAUGGGUUAAGCUGCUGCCUGCAGCGCCAGCAUCCCAUAUGGGCACUGGUUCAAGUCCUGGCUGAUCACAUUCUGAUCCAGCUCCCUGCCCAUGCUCCUGGGAAAGCAGUAGAAGAUGGCCCAACUCCUUGGGCCCCUGCACCCAUGUGGGAGACUUGGGUGAAGCUCCUGGCUCCUGGCUUUUUGUCUGGCCCAGCCCCUGCUGUGGCAGGCAUCUAGGGUGUGAACCAGUGGAUGGGAGAUACCUCUCUCUCUCUCUGUGUAUCUCCCUCCCUCCCUCUGUAACUCUGCCUUUCAAAUAAAAUAAGUCUUUUUUUUUUUUUUUUUAAAGAA